rnacentral:misc_RNA from 1 species
CGCACAUUGCGCCCCUUGGUAUUCCGAGGGGCAUGCCUGUUCGAGCGUCAUUAUUACCAAUCUAGCCUGGCUAGGUAUUGGGCUUCGCGGUUCCGCGGGCCUUAAAAUCAGUGGCGGUGCUCUUAGGCUCUACGCGUAGUAACUCUUCUCGCUAUGGAGUCCUGGGGGAUGCUUGCCAUCAACCUCAACUUUCUUAGGUUGACCUCGGAUCAGGUAGGGAUACCCGCUGAACUUAA